GACGAACGCUGGCGGCGUGCUUAACACAUGCAAGUCGAACGGAAAGGCCCUGCUUUUGUGGGGUGCUCGAGUGGCGAACGGGUGAGUAACACGUGAGUAACCUGCCCUUGACUUUGGGAUAACUUCAGGAAACUGGGGCUAAUACCGGAUAGGAGCUCCUGCUGCAUGGUGGGGGUUGGAAAGUUUCGGCGGUUGGGGAUGGACUCGCGGCUUAUCAGCUUGUUGGUGGGGUAGUGGCUUACCAAGGCUUUGACGGGUAGCCGGCCUGAGAGGGUGACCGGCCACAUUGGGACUGAGAUACGGCCCAGACUCCUACGGGAGGCAGCGGUGGGGAAUUUGCACAAUGGGCGGAAGCCUGAUGCAGCAACGCCGCGUGCGGGAUGACGGCCUUCGGGUUGUAAACCGCUUUCGCCUGUGACGAAGCGUGAGUGACGGUAAUGGGUAAAGAAGCACCGGCUAACUACGUG
rnacentral:rRNA from 1 species